AAAUUGAAGAGUUUGAUCAUGGCUCAGAUUGAACGCUGGCGGCAGGCCUAACACAUGCAAGUCGAGCGGUAGCACAGAGAGCUUGCUCUCGGGUGACGAGCGGCGGACGGGUGAGUAAUGUCUGGGAAACUGCCUGAUGGAGGGGGAUAACUACUGGAAACGGUAGCUAAUACCGCAUAAUGUCGCAAGACCAAAGUGGGGGACCUUCGGGCCUCAUGCCAUCAGAUGUGCCCAGAUGGGAUUAGCUAGUAGGUGGGGUAACGGCUCACCUAGGCGACGAUCCCUAGCUGGUCUGAGAGGAUGACCAGCCACACUGGAACUGAGACACGGUCCAGACUCCUACGGGAGGCAGCAGUGGGGAAUAUUGCACAAUGG
rnacentral:rRNA from 1 species